AGAGAUUUUUUUAAAAUAAUUUAAAUACUUUAUAAUAUGGUGAUAAUUUAAUUUUAAGUCUCUAAUUUUUAAUUUACUGAAAUCAUAUAUCUAUGCCUAUUAUAAAAUAGGUAAAUGAGGAAUGAGGUGGGGAUGGACAAAUCAUUCCCCACGUGGGGAAUGGGGGCAAAAAUAUACAUAUUGUUAAUAUUUAUGAGAUUGUAUAUGUCAAAAUAUUAUAUUUCAAAUGUUUUAUUUUUUAAAAACAAACAACUUAACACUUAUAUUCAGAUAUUAAAAAAAAAUAUUAUUCAGAUAUAUGUAUUCAAACCUAUUCAGACUUCAGCUAAAUUUAUACCCAUUUAAAUUUCAAACAAAAAAACAAACGCUAUAUAAGUUUCAUAAAAUUUAAAUUUCAUAAAACAAUUUUUAUUUUAUUAUCCAAUUUUAUUAUGUUGAUCUAACAUAUAUUUUUAAUUCAAACGACCAAACAAUUCUCGAUUAUUUUGUUGACGGUCAAUAACGUUGACAUGAGAAAGUGAUAAGCUGAGUGCAGGUAGGAUGGCAUUCUCCAGAGAUUGUGAUCUGUAAUAAGUAAUUAUUACAGAUUUAGACGCCAAGUUGUCCAUAUCCUAAAGGAAACCUAUCAAAAUUAUAUGUAUUUUUUAUUUUUUAAUUUUAAAUGAUGGGAAAUAAGUUGGGCUAGUCGUUAAACUCAUGCCCAAACAAAAGUUAAUGUCUUACCGCUUCUCUUAAAAGCCCAUAACAAUCAGGGCAAUUAAGACCAACUUUUUAUCUCAUAGCAUGUACAUCAAUUUCAGAUUAACCUUUUAUGUGUAUGUGUGUCUGUGUAUAUAUAUGGUCCAUGCUACAUUCCGUUAACUACGUUGUCAAACCAGCACAUUCACAGUAUACUAAUAUUAUACAUAAUGAAAUCCCAACGGAAUAAGUAUUUUUUUUAGAGUUGUGAUAUUUGACUCUCUGAUUAUAUCUCACUAUCCCCACUAAUCACUUUUGUAUUAAUAUUUAUUUUAUCCUUAUAUCAAAUGACUUAAAAGGGUAAGUAGCUUUUUAAGUGCACCCACAUAAUAAUUUCUAUUAAUACUUAAUUUAGCUAAUCUAUAGUUCUAUUAUAUAUAUAUACACAACAUGACAUAUUGCAUUAGGGGCUAUUUGUCUGCAUUCCCUCGAUUUGUUAAGCCUUAACUUUUGAAAGGUUCGUUUCUUUUACCAAAAAAGAAAGAAAGUGACUCUAAUGCUGCAUUGUCUUCUCUUCAUAAUCCUAAUUUUGCUACUUUAUGUUGCAUUCGUAAUAGAUGAAUUAACUAUUGUAUUUUGAUUAAAACAUAGUUGUUAGUUGCUCCAUGCUCUCAUGUCUUCCAAGAAGGAAAUUCUAUGGUAAAUUAAUUAGCUAAUUUGGGAUUUUCUUAUUCUAUAUAUACUUGGUGGGAUUGUCCAUCAAUGAGGCAAUGACUAUUCGUAAAAAGUAUUGAGAAUGCUUGGGGUAUUUCAAGUAUCAUUUUAUAACUUAACCUCUUGUACAUGAGACUUUUAUAACUCUUCUCUUUUCAAUUUAAUUUAUUUUAAGAUUUACAUAAAAAAAUAUAUUGAAAAUUCAUUUGUUGGACAUUUUUUUUGGGAUAGUUAUUUUGUUUCAUUGAUGACUUCCAUAAAGUCAAAAACAAAAAUUUUGAAAAUUUAAAUGGCAAAAUCCUCAACGGGUUUGGGGCCCCAUAGAAACCCACCCAAAAUGGGAAAAAUUUUGAAUAAUUUUUUAGGAAUGGGGUGGGGAGUGGGAGAAAAAUAAUCCUCAAAUUCUUAACGGGCUGUGGUUUGAUUUUGCAGUCCCCAUCCCACCUCCACCC
rnacentral:lncRNA from 1 species